CGUGGGAUGGGGUUAUACCGAUAAAGGGUUUUCUCCUUCUCGGAGACUCGGACUCGGAGGUGAAUCGUGCGUAAGGUAGGGAAGAGCUUGCUGAACCAGGGUAAAUCAGCGAAGGAGGAGGAAGAAUCUUCGAUGGCCCAGCGAUGAUGUUUGCGUCUAACAGCAAUAGUUGCAGCUUCGACAGAUGAAAGGAGACUCGCAGCGGGAGUUUCGUAUCCAUAUUUCAGAAGCAAAUUCGUGCCUGCGAGCUGUUAAACCAGAGAAGUGUAAAAGCUGGUAGUGUGCAACUUGCUGGAUGGUUGAAGAGAUGGCCCCACUGCGCUCCACAGGAUUCGUUGACCCUGGAUGGGAGCAUGGCAUUGCCCAAGAUGAGAGAAAGAAGAAAGUCAAAUGCAAUUAUUGUGAGAAAGUAGUCAGUGGUGGAAUAUACAGAUUAAAACAACAUUUAGCCAGAAUUUCUGGGGAAGUUGCAUAUUGCAGGAAGGUUCCAGAGGAAGUAUGCGUGAAAAUGAAGGAAAAUUUGCAGGGAUGUCGGUGUAUCAAGAAAAGGCAAUCUCAAGAUGAAGAACAGGCAUUCUUGGAUUUUCACUCUAAUGAUGAUGAAGAGGAAGAAUCUGUUGGUUAUAAAAGCAAAGGUAAACGAGCAAUGGGUGAUAAGAAUUUGGUAAUUUGUUUGGCUCCCCUUCGGUCGUUAGGAUAUGUUGACCCGGGUUGGGAACACGGUGUUGCCCAAGAUGGGAGGAAAAAGAAGGUAAAAUGCAAUUAUUGUGAAAAAAUAGUUAGUGGAGGUAUAAACCGUUUCAAACAACAUCUUGCCAGGAUCCCAGGGGAAGUUGCAUAUUGUAAAAAGGCUCCAGAGGAAGUAUAUCUUAAAAUGAAGGAGAACAUGAAAUGGCACCGAACUGGCAGGAGACAGCGCCAACCUGAAGCUAAUGAGAUUGCUGCUUUCUACAUGCAUUCAGAUAAUGAGGAUGAAGAGGAAGAGCAGGAGAUGUAUCUUCUGCAAGAUGGUAAGGAGAAGCAGGUAACUGAUGAUGAAAGUUUGGGCAAAGACACUAGGAAAAGACUCAUGGGGAGGUCCCCUGGUGAUGGUAUUGGUGGUUCCGAACCACAGUUAAAGAGAUCAAGAUUGGAUUCUGUCAUGUUAAAAUCACCAAAAAGUCAGACCUAUAAACAGGUGAAGGCAAAGACGGUGCCUGAUAAAAAGACUCGUAAGGAAGUGAUAUCUGCAAUAUGCAAGUUCUUUUAUCAUGCAGCAAUUCCUUUGAAUGCUGCAAGUUCCCCGUAUUUCCAUAAGAUGCUGGAGUUGGUUGGUCAACAUGGUGAAGCGCUGAAAGGCCCUUCUAGCCGGUUGAUUUCUGGUCGAUUUCUACAGGAUGAGAUUACAACAAUUAAAGAAUAUUUAGUGGAAUUUAAAGCAUCAUGGUCAAUUACUGGUUGUACUAUUAUGGCAGAUAGUUGGAAAGAUGCACAGGGAAGGACGUUGAUCAAUUUUUUGGUUUCAUGUCCGCGUGGUGUGUACUUUGUUUCAUCCAUUGAUGCAACAGAUACAGUGGAAGAUGCUUCCAACCUUUUCAAGUUGUUGGACAAAGUGGUGGAUGAGAUUGGUGAGGAAAAUGUGGUGCAGGUAAUCACUGAGCACACUGCCAGUUACAAGGCUGCUGGGAAGAUGCUGGAGGAGAAGAGGAGGAAUUUAUUCUGGACACCGUGUGCUGCCUAUUAUAUUGAUCGGAUGCUUGAAGAUUUUGAGAAGAUAAAGUGGGUUGGAGAGUGCAUGGACAAAGGCAAAAAAAUUACGAAGUUCAUUUACAACCGAACUUGGUUAUUAAAUCUUAUGAAAAAAGAAUUUACAGGAGGCCGGGAUCUCCUCAAUUCAGCGGUUACAAGGUUUGCUACCAGUUUUAUUACUUUACGGAGCUUGUUGGACAAUAGGAUAGGUCUUAAGAGGAUGUUCCAAUCAAAUAAAUGGCUUUCAUCUCAGUUUUCCAAAUUAGAUGAGGGAAAAGAAGUGGAGAAAAUUGUAUUAAGUUCUACAUUUUGGAAGAAGAUGCAGUAUGUCAGAAAAUCUGUGGAGCCAAUUGUGCAAGUUCUUCAAAAGGUGGAUAGUGAUGAAGGUCUUUCGAUGCCUUCCAUCUAUAAUGAUAUGUAUAGAGCUAAGCUAGCAGUGAAAGCUAUCCAUGGUGAUGAUGUACGAAAAUAUGGACCAUUCUCAGCUGUCAUAGAUGACCAUUGGGACUCGUUGUUUCAUCAUCCUCUAUAUGUGGCAGCCUACUUCCUCAAUCCAUCUUAUCGUUACCGUCCUGAUUUUUUAGCGCAUCCUGAGGUAAUUCGUGGACUAAAUGAAUGUAUUGUUCGACUAGAGCCUGACAAUGGAAGGAGGGUUUGUGCAUCCAUGCAGAUUUCUGAUUUUGUUUCCGCAAAAGCUGAUUUUGGAACUGAGUUGGCCGUAAGUACAAGAGCAGAGCUUGACCCAGCUGCUUGGUGGCAACAACAUGGGAUAAAUUGCUUGGAACUACAACGAAUAGCCAUUCGCAUAUUAAGCCAAACAUGCUCUUCUUUUGGGUGUGAGCAUAAUUGGAGUAUUUAUGAUCAGAUCCAUAGCAAGAGGCGCAACCGCCUGGCUCAGAAAAGAUUGAAUGACCUUAUUUACGUCCAUUACAACUUGCGACUUAGGGAGCGCCAAUUGAGAAGAAAACCUGAUGAUGCAAUCUCCCUUGACAAUGUCCUGCUAGAAAGCCUGCUAGAUGACUGGAUUGUGGAGACAGACACACAAACUCUGCAGGAAGACGAGAUCUUUUGGUCACAGGAGAUUUUUUAUAAUGAGGUGAAAAUGGAGGCAGAUGAAACUGAGGUGAACGAGAUUGAAGAUGCAAAUCCCGUGGAAAGUAAUUUGGAGAUGGGGACAUUGGUGGAUGUAGUAGUUGAACCUGUGGGGGUCAACCCUGCAACUAUGCUUGCUGCUACUGAUGAUGAUGAUGAUGACGAUCUUGAUUUUCUUGACGAUGAUUUGACUGAUUAAUAGAUUUAUGUUGCUCAUCUCACACAUGAAUGAAUUAGUUAAUAUGAAGAAUGCUUACAAUAGUUGAAUAGUGAUAUGAUAAGGCAUUGCAUUGAGGUUUCCCAGGUGCAAUUCUGAUGAUGUAAUUUGUUGUGUAAUUUAUUAAUUCAAAGGAAAUAAUGGGGGUUCUGAAGUCGAUCAUCAUCUCACUGAAGCUCACGAUCAAACCAUCAUCUGCUUUGUCUUUGGAAUCACCGUUCUGUAGGGCCCUGAUGAAGCUUGAGAAAAAAAAAAGAUAAAAACAGAGAGUACAGUGGGAGAAGAGAGAUUUGAAGGAUUUCUAUAGAGGACUUUUUAAGAGAGAAUUUUCCAACUCUUAAAAGAGGAAACGAGAUGGAGGGAAAGAUUUUGUUUCUUCCUCGCUUAUAACUGGUGCUGUGUCACGUCGUUGAUGCGUCUCGGCCAUUGGUAAGGGAGGAGAAGAAGAAAAAGGGAUUGAUGGAGAUUAGUAGAGAGAAUUAGAUUUAACAGAGAGAGAUCUCCUUGCUCUGGAAAGGAAGAAGGUGGUGUUUCUCUUCUUGUUGACACUGGUUGUGUUUCUUAUGGAAAAUCCAUAUCCACCCAAAAUUUAAGACUUUCUUCGGGAGGAUUUCCCAUGGCGGCCCAACCAAGGACAAGAUGGGGAAAAGGGUGCCCAUGGACAACACAUGUACUUUAUGCAAUUUUGGACAGAAAUUCGCUUGGCACCUUUUUUCCUGCCGGGACUUCACCAAACGUAUAUGGGUUACUAGUCCAUUGGGACUACAGACUCAUGCAUCAAAGCUUCCUCUUUUCAAAAUUUAUGUAUUUCUUUAAAUCUACAUUUACCUCAUCUCAAGAUCGUAUAUAUUUUUUUUCGGUGUUUAUUAUAA